UACGUAGGGGGCGAGCGUUGUCCGGAUUUAUUGGGCGUAAAGAGCUCGUAGGCGGUUUGGCAAGUCGGGUGUGAAAACUCCGGGCUCAACUCGGAGACGCCACUCGAUACUGCCAUGACUCGAGUCCGGUAGGGGAGUGCGGAAUUCCUGGUGUAGCGGUGAAAUGCGCAGAUAUCAGGAGGAACACCAGUGGCGAAGGCGGAACUCUGGGCCGGAACUGACGCUGAGGAGCGAAAGCGUGGGGAGCGAACAGG
rnacentral:rRNA from 1 species